UAGGGAAGCUUCGGCAAUGGACGGAAGUCUGACCGAGCAACGCCGCGUGAGUGAAGAAGGUUUUCGGAUCGUAAAGCUCUGUUGUUAGAGAAGAACGUUGGUAGGAGUGGAAAAUCUACCAAGUGACGGUAACUAACCAGAAAGGGACGGCUAACUACGUGCCAGCAGCCGCGGUAAUACGGAGGUCCCGAGCGUUGUCCGGAUUUAUUGGGCGUAAAGCGAGCGCAGGCGGUUCUUUAAGUCUGAAGUUAAAGGCAGUGGCUUAACCAUUGUACUCUUUGGAAACAGGAGGACUUGAGUGCAGAAGGGGAGAGUGGAAUUCCAUGUGUAGCGGUGAAGUGCGUAGAUAUAUGGAGGAACACCGGUGGCGAAAGCGGCUCUCUGGUCUGUAACUGACGCUGAGGCUCGAAAGCGUGGGGAGCAAACAGG
rnacentral:rRNA from 1 species